rnacentral:misc_RNA from 1 species
GAAACUCGUUAUCUGUUUGGCUGUACUCGCCGUGUGCGUCACCGUCUACGCCAGACCUGAAGAGAAGUACACCACCAAGUAUGAUAAUGUAGACCUGGACUCUAUCUUGAAGAACGACAGGUUGCUGAGGAGUUACGUGGAUUGCCUGCUAGGAAAAAGGAAGUGCACCAAUGAUGGAGAGGAACUGAAAAAGAGCCUUCCUGAUGCCAUCAAUACCGAAUGCUCAAAAUGUAGCGAAAAGCAAAAAGAAGGAGCUAGGAAAGUGAUCCACUACCUGAUCGAGAAGAAGCGUGACUGGUGGACGGAACUCGAGAAGGUCUACGACCCUGA